AAUUGCUAGUUUAUUCAGUUCGUUCGGGAAGUCGGAGUGGAGCAGGUCGGAAUAAAAUUAAAAAUCUAAAAUAUCCAAAAACGUAUUUUUUGAAAAAAAAAAAAAUGAAUUCUAUUCUUGUUAAAUUCUUUUAAAGUGUAAAAAAAUGAAUCAAAUAGUUUAUCCAAAGUGCUGACUUGGCUCCGCAGAAUCCUGCUUUGUUGGUACUCAAUCGGCAUAAAAAUCCUCGCUGGUCGAGUCUGUCUUCGCUGCUAGAUCCUCCUGUGAUGGCGUUGUCUACACUGUGGUUUCCUUCACAGGAGAUGCCCUUUUCGGACAACCUCUCUGCUGGAAACUGACACCAAAGAUCGAUCCGACCUCCAUGGAGAAUGGCUCACUUUCUUGGGGACUUCCUUACAGCUAGGAAGCUUCGCCGAUUGUUUCUGUUGGUGUGUGGUGCGCCUUCGCUUGAAGAGCGGUGACGUCAGUGUUGACGAAUGUUAGGCCCAGCCAACGGCAUGAUGGGUAUCUCUUUGCGAAUGUCUCGCAGAAGUUUGGCCUUUGUGUCGUAGAUCCCAUACACUGCAUCAAGCGUCUUGCCUCUCAUAAGGCACAAUAGCUUCUGUACCUCGUCCUCCGUCGAGGCCUCAGAUUCAGCUGCUUUCAGAUGCAGAUUCGACUGCUCGAUCCGUUAACUCUCCUCCUUGUAUUUUUGGGGCCAGGGCCUCUGCUCUCUCGGGCUCGUCUUCGGCGUCUUUCUUUUUGUCCGCUAUUGCAUCAACGUAUGUGGUGAUGAUAGAAUAUUUGCGUGUUGUCGACAUAAGUCGAAUUCAAAAGGAUUCCCCUUGCAGUCGAAGUUCGAGGAGUCGGAGGAAAAAGGAAAAGUAAAGUGGCCUGUAGCCUACCCCCUACACGUGCUGGGAUGGAAUUGAAAGUGGUUGCAGUCCGAGAAGUGCGCGCAGUCCGAUGAAAUUAAAUAUAGUUGUUCCUGCCGGCUCAUCAUCGUAGGACUGCUGUGGCUCUCUCCUUCUUGAAAAUUAAUUUUCAGCAUGGAAAACAUCAAACUUCGACUACAAUUAAACAUUCGAUCGACCCCACAUCCGGACAAAUAGAAGAAGGCGGAGAACGAGGCACUGCGGGCACAUUCACUGGUCGUCAAGUUCAAGAUGGAAGAGAAACCAGUCAAUCAGCCUGUGUGAAUACAGACGUUGGAUCCACAGACAAGAAUAUAGCUGAAACGUAGGCUCCGACGAAGGAAGGGGUGGCAAAACUAUUAUGCCAUAUGCGCGGCAAGACGAAUGUUUGAUGGGCUGGAUGGGGUCUACGAUCCAAAGACAAAACUUCUGCAGGACAUCCACAAAGCGAAAGCCAUCAUACCAUUGGCUAAGGCCUGCCCUCCGUCAGCGUUCCCGGCACCGCAUUGCAAGCGGACACGCACCACACACAAAUAGAAACAAUCGGCCAAGUCUCCACGCUCUAAGAAAGUUCUCAAGAAAGUCAGCUUAUUGUCCAUUGAGUUGGGAACGAUCUCUGGCUAGUUCUGCAGGGAACAUGGUCCAAAAAAGGGCAACUCCAGUGAAGGCAGCAACAGUAUAGACACCGCCAAACAACGGUGGAUCUAGUCGCGAAGGCACAUUCGUCCAGCAAGGACCUCUAUGCCCAUAAGGAACCACCCAAAAGGACGUCCGCUCGAGCCAAGUCACCUGCAAGGCCGCCUGUGGCAACGACUCCGAUAACCUAAGAACUCUUCUGAACCUAAGAGACAGUUAGAGUUACUUGUUAGUGUUACUUGUUUGAGAAUAUAUUAUUUAUGUUACCAAA